AUUGAACGCUGGCGGCAGGCCUAACACAUGCAAGUCGAACGAGUGGCGGACGGGUGAGUAAUGUCUGGUAAACUGCCUGAUGGAGGGGGAUAACUACUGGAAACGGUAGCUAAUACCGCAUACCAUCAGAUGUGCCCAGAUGGGAUUGGCUUGUUGGUGGGGUAACGGCUCACCAAGGCGACGAUCCCUAGCUGGUCUGAGAGGAUGACCAGGCAAACUGGAACUGAGACACGGUCCAGACGCCGACGGGGGCCGGAAGUGGGGAAUAUUGCACAAGGGGGGCAAGCCUGAUGCGGCCAUGCGGGGUGUAUGAGGAAGGCCUUGGGGUGGUAAAGUACUUUAAGCGGGGAGACGUUACCCGCAGAAGAAGCACCGGCUAACUCCGUGCCAGCAGCCGCGGUAAUAC
rnacentral:rRNA from 1 species